UACGUAGGGUGCAAGCGUUUGUCCGGAAUCAUUGGGCGUAAAGCGCGCGUAGGUGGUCAUGUAAGUCCGCUGUGAAAGUCAAAGGCUCAACCUUUGAAAGCCGGUGGAUACUGCAUGACUAGAGUACGGAAGAGGCGAGUGGAAUUCCUGGUGUAGCGGUGGAAUGCGCAGAUAUCAGGAGGAACACCAAUAGCGAAGGCAGCUCGCUGGGACGUUUACUGACACUGAGGCGCGAAAGCGUGGGGAGCGAACAGG
rnacentral:rRNA from 1 species